rnacentral:rRNA from 1 species
GACGAACGCUUGCGACGUGCCUAAGAAAUGCAAGUCGAACGGGGGGAGCAAUCCCCUAGUGGCGAACGGUCGCGUAACACGUGGGCAACCUGCCUCGAAGCGGGGGACAACAAUCCGAAAGGGUUGCUAAUACCGCAUGUGAAUCGCUCUGGCAUCAGAGAGGAUUCAAAGCCGCAAGGCACUUCGAGAUGGGCCCGCGGCCUAUCAGCUUGUUGGUGGGGUAACGGCCUACCAAGGCGACGACGGGUAGCUGGUCUGAGAGGACGAUCAGCCACAC